ACGGCCCCGCCGGUGAGGCAAGAGGGAAUCCGGUGCGAAUCCGGAACUGCCCCGCAGCGGUGAGUGGGAACGAACGUCGUCACGACCGCGGCCCCCCGGGGACCGCGAGCGGAACACGGCACUGGGUCGCGAACCCGGGAAGCCGACGACCAGUAGGAGAACCGGCGAGAGCCGGCGGGCCCACGAGUCCGAAGACCUGCCGU
rnacentral:ncRNA from 2 species